rnacentral:lncRNA from 1 species
GGAUAAUGUGGGCAGGCUGCAUCAUGUGUGUCACAUCGUUAUCAAUCCAACAGCUGGGAGGAAAGGUGGACAGCAGCGGGAGAGUCCAGCUGGUGCCUCUCUGCGCAUGGAAGGCCAAGGAUCACCUUAAAGGAAUAGGAAGGGGCCCAGAGCCCCCUCUAGGCAGGGAGCCUGUCAAUUAUUCCACAAAAAAGGACUGGGCACCUGCCCAGGCCUACCUCUCUUUGAGGCUACGACGAGGACAAGUGAGACCCACCCGGUGUCUGACCUGCAGGAGCUUGUGGUCUACCAGCAAUGUACAACUUGGAGGAAAAUGGCUACAGCGCAAGGUCAAAAGGGAUAGAUGCACACAGGAUGGGCUGGUGAGUCCAGAGAAGAAGAGGUUACGUCUAGCUCAGGCUUUGUGGCGGUCUUCAAAGGGGUGGUGGCUUCUGAACUGAGCCCUGAACAAUGAGUAGGAUAUCAACAGACCUGAGCACCAGGAGUGGAGGCAAAAGAAAGACGGGCAGAAUGUUGCAAAUUCCCAAGCAUCUCUUGGAGAAUUCCGGGUAAGCAGCUUCCCGUGAAGUCCUGCCCUCUCUCUCGAGCCAUCGAGUCCCAUCGCGGAUGCACACAGGCACGGCUCUGUCUCUGGAUCCUUUGUCUGUGCUCUAGUUUGUUGAAGCUUUUUGCAGUUUUAUGUUGUGCCUCUUCAAGGAAAGAGAGAAGGGGGAGAGAACUGGCUCUUCUGGAUGCCUACUAUGGGCUAGUUAUGCCACCUCAUUUAAUUUUACCAUCCUGCGAGAAUGGCAUUAUUCUCGUCCCAUUUAACAAUAGAGGAAAGCACAGCUCAGAGAAAGUAAGCAACUUGUCCAAGGACACUCAGUGAUCUCAUUCAAUAACUAUCUAUUGAGCGCUAGGGGCAGAGCCAGGAACUGAACCCAGAACACUUGGAUUUCAAAGUCCUUAUCCUGUUAACACAAGACAUUGCUUCUCCUCUCUCCAGAGGGUCAGGUCCCCAAGGGCAUAAUUUUUUCCACAGAUUCCCCAACACCUACAAACUCACCUUAACUGAAAACAUCCCUGACCCUGGAAAGGUGUCAAAAGGGAAAUUCAAUUGAUGCCACCAGUGUUGACAAUGUUUGGAGUCUGGGCUCCUUAUCUAACUACCUAAUAGUCCUCUCCACCCAGUGGUGAACCCGCUUCCACACCUGGUAUUCUCCCUGGUCUGGUUUUGCCAAGAGUUAUUAAACCACAGCCAGCAGAACUGCCAGGAGCCUUAGAGCCCACUUAGGCCAAUGCCCCAUGUUUGUAAAGAAGAACCCAAGCCCAGAAAGGGCAAGUGCCCAGCCUAAGGCUACAUAGUGAUUUCGUAGCAGAGCUGGAAGUACAACCUUUAUUUAGUCGGUGGCAUUGGAAACCAUAUUCUGUUCAGCUAGACCUGCUACAUAUCUUGGCAAG